GUAGGGAAUCUUCCACAAUGGACGAAAGUCUGAUGGAGCAACGCCGCGUGAGUGAAGAAGGGUUUCGGCUCGUAAAGCUCUGUUGGUAGUGAAGAAAGAUAGAGGUAGUAACUGGCCUUUAUUGACGGUAAUUACUUAGAAAGUCACGGCUAACUACGUGCC
rnacentral:rRNA from 1 species